UAGGUUCUCGAAUCGUAAAAUUCUGUUGUGGAGAAGAAUGUAUCUGAUAGUAACUGAUCAGGUAGUGACGGUAUCCAACCAGAAAGCCAGGGCUAACUACGUGCCAGCAGCCGCGGUAAUACGUAGGUGGCAAGCGUUGUCCGGAUUUAUUGGGCGUAAAGCGAGCGCGGGCGGUUUCUUAAGUCUGAUGUGAAAGCUUUCGGCUCAACCGAAGAAGUGCAUCGGAAACUGGGAAACUUGAGUGCAGAAGAGGACAGUGGAACUCCAUGUGUAGCGGUGAAAUGCGUAGAUAUAUGGAAGAACACCAGUGGCGAAGGCGGUUGUCUGGUCUGUAACUGACGCUGAGGCUCGAAAGCAUGGGUAGCAAACAGGAUUAGAUACCCUGGUAGUCCAUGCCGUAAACGAUGAGUGCUAGGUGUUGGAGGGUUUCCGCCCUUCAGUGCCGCAGCUAACGCAUUAAGCACUCCGCCUGGGGAGUACGACCGCAAGGUUGAAACUCAAAGGAAUUGACGGGGGCCCGCACAAGCGGUGGAGCAUGUGGUUUAAUUCGAAGCAACGCGAAGAACCUUACCAGGUCUUGACAUCCUUUGACCACUCUAGAGAUAGAGCUUUCCCUUCGGGGACAAAGUGACAGGUGGUGCAUGGUUGUCGUCAGCUCGUGUCGUGAGAUGUUGGGUUAAGUCCCGCAACGAGCGCAACCCUUAUUACUAGUUGCCAGCAUUUAGUUGGGCACUCUAGUGAGACUGCCGGUGACAAACCGGAGGAAGGUGGGGACGACGUCAAAUCAUCAUGCCCCUUAUGACCUGGGCUACACACGUGCUACAAUGGAUGGUACAACGAGUUGCGAGACCGCGAGGUUUAGCUAAUCUCUUAAAACCAUUCUCAGUUCGGAUUGUAGGCUGCAACUCGCCUACAUGAAGCCGGAAUCGCUAGUAAUCGCGGAUCAGCAU
rnacentral:rRNA from 2 species